GCUGCCCGUUUGAUUCCACAUUUGCGCUUGGCCCUGCAGGGCGGCGGCACGUCUCGACCGCCGGAGAAGUAUCGGUCGGCGCCGUCGAGUUGGUUGCAUGCAUCUCGUAGCAGUAAGCCAUAUCAACAUGUAUCAUCUGCUUCCUGUGCUCAACUUCUUUCUUGAAGUGCAGGUUCAAGUUCAGACACUGAUAUCACGUGCUUCACAACUGAGAUUUGUGUUGAUCACUAUGACAAGCUCAUAAGGGUUCAGCCUAACGGUUUUUAGGAUGAGCACAUACAAACCAACAAUGUCAGUUAACUUCUCCUCAACCCAUUUUUACACUAUCAGGAGAGACCUUUAAUUUGAGGAGAUGGACACGAGUAAUUUUUGUUCAGAUACUAGGAGGGAGAAGGAUGAUUCAGAUAAAAGAAUUGGAAGGGAUUAUUAGAGUACCAUUGCAUGAUAGACAUCAGUGUGCUACAAGUAAUAAGAAGGCAUCUGGGAACAGCCAUAAUUCAUGGUGCAAAUGGUGUCCCAAAUAUUUGCUCAUGCUAUGCAAAUGGUGUCCCAAAUAUUUGCUCAUGCUAACAGUCUCUGAAGACUUAUAUAUUUCAAACUAAAUUACAGGGGCUCAGCAAAGAGCAACGAUGAUACCAAGUAUAACAUAUGGCGGGUUUUUCAUUGCUA